rnacentral:rRNA from 1 species
AAUUAUCUGGGCUACACGCGGGCUACAAUGGGUGGGACGAAAUGGGUAUCGACACCGAAAGGUGAAGGCAAUCUCCUAAACCCAUCCGUAGUUCGGAUUGUGGGCUGCAACUCGCCCACAUGAAGCUGGAAUCUGUAGUAAUCGUGUCUCAAAAUGGCACGGUGAAUAUGUCCCUGCUCCCUU